AGCCAAAGCUAACCCGUACAAAGGCGUAUCUAAGGAGAAGUUGGAAUGAUCCUCUCGGGCAAUGUCAUGUCACACCAUUUGGAUUCUCUGUUAUGAUGAAAAAGCUGAUGGACUUGGCCGAAGGUAAAAUUGUGAUGGCUUUGGAGGGGGUACAAUUUGGACUCUUUAGCAAAUUCAGG